CCUACCGGAGGUGGCGGUACGGAAUCUUCCACAGUGGACGAAAGUCUGAUGGAGCAACGCCGCGUGAGUGAAGAAGGGUUUCGGCUCGUAAAACUCUGUUGUUAAAGAAGAACAUAUCUGAGAGUAACUGUUCAGGUAUUGACUGUAUUUAACCUUAAAGCCACGGCUAACAACCUGCCAUGCUCCCCGGUAAUA
rnacentral:rRNA from 1 species